rnacentral:rRNA from 1 species
UACGUAGGGGGCAAGCGUUGUCCGGAAUCAUUGGGCGUAAAGCGCGUGUAGGCGGCCAGAUAAGUCCGUUCUGAAAGCCCGGGGCUCAACCCCGGGAGGCGGAUGGAUACUGUUUGGCUCGAGUCCGGAAGAGGCGAGUGGAAUUCCCGGGUGUAGCGGUGAAAUGCGCAGAUAUCAGGAAGAACACCCGUGGCGAAGGCGGCUCUCUGGGGACGG